AUGAUGGACUAUAGGACAGGACUGCUGCUUUUAACUGUCUGCUGGGCAGGUGUUGAUGGUCAGACUCUGACAGAAUCUGAACCAGCGGUUAAAAGGCCUGGAGAAUCCCACAGAUUGACCUGUACAGCCUCUGGAUUCACAUUCAGCAACCACUGGAUGCACUGGGUCAGGCAGGCUCCUGGAAAAGGACUGGAGUGGGUUGCCGCUAUCAGUAAUGGUGGUGGUAGCAGCAAAUACUACUCUCAGUCAGUUCAAGGCCGGUUUACCAUCUCCAGAGACGACAGCAGACAGCAGCUGUAUCUGCAGAUGAACAGUCUGAAGACUGAAGAUUCUGCUGUUUAUUAUUGUGCCCGAGACUCACAGUGACUGGAGUUUGUGGAGCAGCUGU